rnacentral:lncRNA from 1 species
UUUAUAUACUUUACACCUUUACUCAUCUUCCCUCGUACCCUUCUUUUCUUUUUACUAUUCAUGAACUCUCCAUUCCCAAGCCUCCACGAACUCUCACUCCAUCCGUAUCCAUCUCCAAUCAAACAACUCUUCCCCAUCAAUUUCAAUCGAUGGCACGCUUGUCUCACCUAUCCAAUCGGCAAAGGGAUGACGACCGAGAAAUUGCAAUGAUAAAAGAGUAUCGAUGACCCUCUGGCCCUCUCAUCCAUUUCUUAUUCUCCUCUUCCUCCUCUUUUUUAUGUUUGUUCAUAUUGUUCUUGAGGAAAUUAUUUUAUGUUUCUUAUUAUAUAUUGAAUGUGUUAAAUAUUUUUUUUUUCUUCUUAAUCUGAUGAUGAUAUUUGCUGUUGAGAGUUUUUUCUUGUAAAAUUUGUUAUUGCUAAUUUAAAAUUGUAGAUUAAUUAAAUUUAUUAGUAUUAGAUUAGUUUAAUAAUUUGAAUUGGAAUUCAUUGAUUUAAUUUAGAAUUAUUUAUUAUUAGAACUCCAAUAAUUUAUGUGGGUUGUUGAUCUUUUGAUAUAAAAAAUUAUGAUUUUAUCUUUCGUAGAUUUCGGAUUCUAAGGUAGAAGAUAGCCAUUCUCUAAAAUUAACGGUUUGUUUUCGAAUUGAAAUUGAAUCAAAUAAAAACUAAUUAGGUUUGAUUUGAUAAAUCUCUAUAUCGAUUUGAUUUCGGUUGUCAUUUUUUUAUUAAAUUAGUUUUGUAAUUUUUUAUUUCGAUUCGAUUACUUCUAAACAUGCAAAAUCACACAAAACACUAGUUUAACAUGAUUAAAAUCUUUGACGGGUAUUAAAUCUGUCAAUUACAAUUGAUUCUCCUUUUUAAUUCAAUUAUUCUUAUAGAGGGGUGAAUAAGUGUCAAUCUAAUAGAAAUCUUAAAUUUAUUUAUUUAAAAGUCAGGUGAUAUAAAUGUGAUAAAAUAAUGAGACAAAUAAUUAAUUAAAAGUUCAACUAAAAAUAAUUAAAGUUAAGAGGUUUAUCCGUUGAUAAUUGAUUUAAAAAAUAAUUCACUUAAUUUUCUAUUAUUUGAUUAUAGUUGUAAUAUCCGGCUAGACUCCGGUAUCGGAAUUCCUACCGUCCGGUGGAAUCUCGGAUGUCGGAGACCUCUAGAAGGGUAAACUCAUGUUUUCAUGAAAUGUUUUAAUGUUUUUGAUGAUUUUAAGUAAAGAGGAAAUGAGUUUUUGAAUAAAAACAACCUUGGAGGAAAACUCAGGUUCGGCCGCCGAACAUGCAUGCGUUGCGGGUGUGCUUUAGGCCCCCGAAAGUAUAAGUGAGGGAAGUCCAGGUUCGGCCGCCGAACCUCAAGUUCGGCCGCCGAACAUGGCAUGCAUGCGGAGGCACAUUCGGCCCCCGAACGUGGCCUGGACAGCCACUAUAAAAGGGUCUCUUAGCCGAAAACGGGCGAGCUUUUUCCCCAUUUUCGGCCAAGGUGAGCUCUCCGUUGUCCCUCACCGAUCUUUGAUGUUUUUCCUCUAGAUGUUUCAAGUUUUUCAUUUGUUUUAACUUUGUUUUGAAGAUUUGAGCUUUUGAGCAAAGUUUUGGAGCUUUGAGGUUCAAGAACUCAAAUCUCUCCCAACUCCAAGUUUGGUCGCCUCUACUCUCGAUCUUCAAGAGGUAAGAGUCGAUCUCUAGCUUAUAUUAUGUUUUAAGUAAGUUUUAUGAAGUUCAUGGGGUAGAAAAUGCAUGAGUAAGCUUAUGUUGAGUUUAUGGGUUUUGAUGAGUUUUUUAGCAAUGUGGCUUGUAAUGUGUGUUUGAUGUGUUGUAGUUGGGGUUUAAGGUAGUUUGAGACCCCUAGGAGCUUGUAUGCAUGUUUUGGUUGAGCUAAAUGCAUGAUGGUUUGAGUUUGGAGGCAUUUGUGCAUGUUUGAACCAAGUUUCUGCCCUUUGGGAGAAACCAGGUUCGGCAGCCGAAGGGACUUUCGGCCGUCGAACCCUCUUGUGGAGGCAGCCUUCGGCUGCCGAAGCUUGCCCCCGAAAGGAGACUUUCGUCUCUGUCUGGGAGUUUCGGCCGCCGAAAGUGCCGCCGAACAUGCAUAAAUUUCGCCUCUGUCUGGGAGUUUCGGCCGCCGAAGGUGCCGCUGAACCUGCCUGACUUUCGGCUCUGGAGGGACUUUCGGCCGCCGAACCUGCCGCUGAAAGUGCCAUGUCCAGCCUUUCUUUGCAUGUUCUUGCAUAGAUGUUUUGUGAUGUUUUAGGGGGGUUUUUGUGGGAUGUUUUUAGAGUUAUGUUCUAGUUGUUUGGUCCCUCAUUUGAGUCCACCUGUGUAGGUUCGGACCCGAGGAAACGAGGACCCCAGCAGUGAGUCGGUUUCUUCGGUCAGUGUCAGAGCUAGCCAGAGGUGAGUGGAAUAACUCUUAUGCUCUUAAGUAAAUAAAUCAGUUUUGAGCAUGUUCAUGCAUCACGGAUGCCAUGUGAUAUUUUAGGUUGUUUGCAUUAGAAAUCACGAAUAUGUUGCAUUGCAUAAUAUGUUGUUGAUGUGGAUGAAUGUUGAAUGAUCCAUUAGCCCUCAUAUGUUAUGACAUGAUGAUAUGGUAUGGAAGUCCAGGUGUGGCCUGCACUACGCCCCUGGCACUAUGUAAGAGAAAGACCGGACGUGGCCUGCACUACGCCCCCAGCACCAUGGAUUAUGUAUGUUAUGCUAUGUAUAAGAGAAAGACCAGGUGAGGCCUGCACUACGCCCCUGGCAUGAUUGGAAUAUGUAGAGGGCUAAAUGGUGACAAGUUCAUCCUUGUUAUGAUUAGUUGUGAUGUGAUGCAUUCCAUGAUAGCAUGUGUUUUAAAUGCUUUAUGAUUCUGCUCACUGGGCUCUAGUAGCUCACCCCUCUCCCAAAUUCCCCAGGUUUGCAGGUACGGGUUAGACAGAGAAGUCAAGAAGAGCAACGAAGUCUUAUGUAUGUAAUAGUUAGAAUGUGGACAUGACAGAUUGUAUAAUGAUGUAUAAACAUGUAAUGUAACGAUAUUAAGGUUAGAAGUGUGCUUGACCAUAGUAUAUUGUAAUCACUUUUUGAUACAUGAUCUUAAUGUUUAUUGAUGACUAUGUUUAGCCAACUCAACACUUGUUAUGCCACCCAUUGGGGGCAUUGAUGAGAUCCCACAGAGGGGUCAAGUUUAUGAUUAUGACCAUGUUCAGUGCAUGCACAGGUUGAGUUUGGUGUAUGAUAAAAUGUAUGAAAG